rnacentral:rRNA from 1 species
CCUACGGGUGGCAGCAGUGGGGAAUAUUGGACAAUGGGGGGAACCCUGAUCCAGCCAUGCCGCGUGUGUGAAGAAGGCCCUCGGGUUGUAAAGCUCUUUCAGUGAGGAAGAACGCCUGGUGGUUAAUACCCAUCAGGAAAGACAUCACUCACAGAAGAAGCACCGGCUAACUCCGUGCCAGCAGCCGCGGUAAUACGGAGGGUGCGAGCGUUAAUCGGAAUUACUGGGCGUAAAGCGCGCGUAGGUGGCUUGAUAAGCCGGUUGUGAAAGCCCCGGGCUCAACCUGGGAACGGCAUCCGGAACUGUCAAGCUAGAGUGCAGGAGAGGAAGGUAGAAUUCCCGGUGUAGCGGUGAAAUGCGUAGAGAUCGGGAGGAAUACCAGUGGCGAAGGCGGCCUUCUGGACUGACACUGACACUGAGGUGCGAAAGCGUGGGUAGCAAACAGGAUUAGAUACCCUGGUAGUC